GACGGAGGAUGCAAGCGUUAUCCGGAAUGAUUGGGCGUAAAGCGUCCGUAGGUGGUUUUUCCAGUCGGCUGUUAAAGAGCAAAGCUCAACUUUGUAAAGGCAGUGGAAACUGAAAGACUAGAGAGCCGUAGGGGUAGAGGGAAUUCCCGGUGUAGCGGUGAAAUGCGUAGAGAUCGGGAAGAACACCGGUGGCGAAAGCGCUCUACUGGACGGCAUCUGACACUCACAGGACGAAAGCUAGGGGAGCGAAUGGG
rnacentral:rRNA from 1 species